UACAGAGGGUGCGAGCGUUGUCCGGAAUCACUGGGCGUAAAGGGCGCGUAGGUGGCGACCCAAGUCGAUGGUGAAAGCUCGCCGCUCAACGGCGAGUCGGCCACCGAUACUGGGUUGCUGGAGCACUGUAGAGGCAGAUGGAAUUCCGGGUGUAGCGGUGGAAUGCGUAGAGAUCCGGAAGAACACCGGUGGCGAAGGCGGUCUGCUGGGCAGUUGCUGACACUGAGGCGCGACAGCGUGGGGGAGCAAACAGGG
rnacentral:rRNA from 1 species